ACCCCUGGGUUCUGCAGCGCAAUCCUCGCUACACAUAUUCUGAGCUGUGGUGUGCAACGUGUAUGACAAAUGGGACAGUGGGAACCGGGACUCCUAGUUGUUUCCGUAUGCCGG